CAUCAUCUUCUCUGGCUCCAUUGUGCCCUUGAUCUUUAGAGCAAGCUCCCCGCUUUCUGAUUGGUUCUCCUUUUCUUCUUCCUUUGCUUUUUUUUUGUUUUCUUGCUUGAUUUUUCUCUCAACCUUCCUAUUCUAUUUGUAAGUUUACUUCUACCUCUUCUUUCUUUUAUGGCUUCUAAUGGCAGCAAGGCCAGGGCUAAAAGUUGUUGGGGUAGCUGAAAUCCAUAAUGAACUCCUCCCCGGGUUAGGUCUGAGGGGAAUCCUUAGACAAUUGCUGAAU
rnacentral:lncRNA from 1 species